UACGAAGGGGGCUAGCGUUGCUCGGAAUCACUGGGCGUAAAGCGCACGUAGGCGGAUUGUUAAGUCAGGGGUGAAAUCCUGGAGCUCAACUCCAGAACUGCCUUUGAUACUGGCGAUCUCGAGUCCGGGAGAGGUGAGUGGAACUGCGAGUGUAGAGGUGAAAUUCGUAGAUAUUCGCAAGAACACCAGUGGCGAAGGCGGCUCACUGGACCACUUCUGACGCUGAGGCGCGAAAGCCAGGGGAGCAAACGGG
rnacentral:rRNA from 1 species